GAUGAACGCUGGCGGCGUGCUUAACACAUGCAAGUCGAACGAUAAGGCCCAGCUUGAAGCGUGGAGUAGUGGGCAUCGGGUGAGUAACACGUGAGUAACCUGCCCUUGACUCUGGGAUAAGCCUGGAAGACUGGGACUAAUACUGGCUAUUACUACUCCUCGCAUGGAGGGGGGUGGCAAGAUUUAUUGGUGUUGGAUGGACUCGCGGCCUAUCAGCUUGGUGGUGAGGUUAUGGCUCACCAAGGCGAAGAGGCGUCGCCGGCCUGAGAGGAUCACCGGCCACACUGGGACGGAGACGAGGCCCAGACCCCUACGGGAGGCAGCGGUGGAGAAGAUUGCACAAUGGGCGCAAGCCUGAUGCAGCGACGCCGCGCGAGGGAUGUCGGCCUUCGGGUUGUAAUCCUCUGUCAGUAGAGAAGAAGCGAGAGUGACGGUACCUGCAGAAGAAGCGCCGGCUAACUACGUG
rnacentral:rRNA from 1 species